rnacentral:rRNA from 1 species
GCCUGGAGAUGAGCUCGCGUCUGAUUAGCUAGUUGGUGGGGUAAAGGCCUACCAAGGCAACGAUCAGUAGCUGGUCUGAGAGGAUGAUCAGCCACACUGGGACUGAGACACGGCCCAGACUCCUACGGGAGGCAGCAGUGGGGAAUUUUCCGCAAUGGGCGAAAGCCUGACGGAGCAAUACCGCGUGAGGGAGGAAGGCUUUUGGGUUGUAAACCUCUUUUCUUUGGGAAGAAGAUCUGACGGUCCCAAGGGAAUAAACCUCGGCUAACUCCGUGCCAGCCGCCGCGGUAAUACGGAGGAGGCAAGCGUUUUCCGGAAUGAUUGGGCGUAAAGCGUCCGCAGGUGGGCAUUUAAGUCUGUUGUUAAAACCCAAGGCUUAACUCUGGUCAGGGAAUGGAAACUACAAACCUAAAUUUGGGUAGGGGCAAAAGGAAUUCCCGGGUUACCGGUGAAAUGCUUUAAUUUUGGGAAGAAAAUCCUUGGCCAAAGCCCUUUUCUUGCCCUAAACUGACCUUGAGGGGCGAAAG